rnacentral:rRNA from 1 species
UCAAGUUAUUAAGGGUGCAGGGCGGAUGCCUUGGCACUAGGAGCCGAUGAAGGACGUGAUAAGCUGCGAUAAGCUUCGGGGAGUUGCACGUAAACUUUGAUCCGAAGAUUUCCGAAUGAGGAAACUCACUUAGAGUAAUGUCUAAGUAUCAUUAAGUGAAUACAUAGCUUAAUGAGGGGAACUCAGGGAACUGAAACAUCUAAGUACCUGAAGGAAGAGAAAGAAAUUCGAUUCCGUAAGUAGCGGCGAGCGAACGCGGAUUAGCCCAAACCAAUAAAGUUUUCUUUAUUGGGGUUGCGGACAUAUCAUAACGAAGAGGUAUCGUAAUUGAAGAGGUUUGGAAAGACCCACCACAGAAGGUAAUAGUCCUGUAUGUUAAACGAGAAGACUUUAGAUAUGAUCCAGAGUACCACGGGACACGUGAAACCCUGUGGGAAGCAGGAGGGACCACCCUCCAAGGCUAAAUACUACCUAGUGACCGAUAGCGUAUAGUACCGUGAGGGAAAGGUGAAAAGAACCCCGGGAGGGGAGUGAAAUAGAACCUGAAACCCUGCACUUACAAGCUGUGGAAGCACAUUUCUUGUGUGACCGCGUACUUUUUGUAGAACGGGCCAACGAGUUACGUUAAGUAGCAAGGUUAAGCACUUAAGGUGUGGAGCCGUAGCGAAAGCGAGUUUUAACUGAGCGUUCAGUUACUUGACGUAGACCCGAAACCGGGCGACCUACCCAUGAGCAGGAUGAAGCGAAAGUAAAAUUUCGUGGAGGUCCGAACCCACGAGCGUUGAAAAGCUCGGGGAUGACUUGUGGGUAGCGGUGAAAUUCCAAUCGAGCCCGGAGAUAGCUGGUUCUCCCCGAAAUAGCUUUAGGGCUAGCCUCAAGGUGAGAGAUACGGAGGUAGAGCACUGAAUGUCCUAGGGGGUAUUGCACCUACCGAAGACUAUCAAACUCCGAAUGCCGUCAUCUUAUACUUGGGAGUCAGACUGUGGGUGAUAAGAUUCAUAGUCGAAAGGGCAACAGCCCAGAUCGUCAGCUAAGGUCCCUAAAUGUAAGUUAAGUGGUAAAGGAUGUGGGAUUGCACAGACAACCAGGAUGUUGGCUUAGAAGCAGCCACUCAUUCAAAGAGUGCGUAAUAGCUCACUGGUCGAGUGAUCCUGCGCCGAAGAUUUCCGGGGCUAAAACUUACUACCGAAGCUACGGCAUCAGUAAUGAUGGGUAGGGGAGCUUCCCAUACGGGUUGAAGCAUGACCGUAAGGACAUGUGGACAGUAUGGGAGUGAGAAUGUUGGCAUGAGUAGCGAGAUGUGGGUGAGAAUCCCACAGGCCGUAAACCCAAGGUUUCCAGGGGAAGGUUCGUCCGCCCUGGGUUAGUCGGGACCUAAGCUGAGGCCGAAAGGCGUAGGUGAUGGACAACAGGUUGAUAUUCCUGUACUACCGAUAACCGUUUGAGAGAAGGGAUGACACAGUAGGAUAAGCUAAGCACACUGUUGGUUAUGUGUGCCCAAGCAUUGAGGCAGUCAAAGUAGGCAAAUCCGCUUUGAUAAUGCUGGGAUGUGAUGGGGAGCGAAAUUUAGUAGCGAAGUAGCUGAUUUCACACUGUCAAGAAAAGUCUCUAUCGAGGUUAAAGGUACCCGUACCGCAAACCGACACAGGUGGGUGAGGAGAGUAUCCUAAGGCCAGCGAGAGAACUGUUGUUAAGGAACUCGGCAAAAUGACCCCGUAACUUAGGGAUAAGGGGUGCCACCAUCAGGUGGCCGCAGAGAAUAGGCCCAAGCGACUGUUUACCAAAAACAUAGGUUUCUGCUAAGUCGCAAGACGAUGUAUAGGAGCUGACGCCUGCCCGGUGCUGGAAGGUUAAGGGGAUCUGUUAGAGCAAUCGAAGCAGUGAACUUAAGCCCCAGUAAACGGCGGCCGUAACUAUAACGGUCCUAAGGUAGCGAAAUUCCUUGUCGGGUAAGUUCCGACCCGCACGAAAGGCGUAACGAUUUGGGCACUGUCUCAACAACAGACUCGGUGAAAUUGUAAUUCCGGUGAAGAUGCCGGAUACCUGCGACAGGACGGAAAGACCCCAUGGAGCUUUACUGUAGCUUGACAUUGGGUCUUGGUACUACAUGUACAGGAUAGGUGGGAGGCUUUGAAACCAGGACGCCAGUUUUGGCGGAGCCAUCCUUGGGAUACCACCCUUGUAGUACUGGGACUCUAACCAUAGGCCAUGAAUCUGGUCUUGGGACACUGUCAGGUGGGCAGUUUGACUGGGGCGGUCGCCUCCCAAAAGGUAACGGAGGCGCUCAAAGGUUCUCUCAGUACGGUCGGAAAUCGUACGUAGAGUGUAAAGGCAAAAGAGAGCUUGAUUGCAAGACAUACAGGUCGAGCAAGGAUGAAAAUCGGACUUAGUGAUCCGGUGGUUCUGCGUGGAAGGGCCAUCGCUCAACGGAUAAAAGCUACCCUGGGGAUAACAGGCUUAUCUCCCCCAAGAGUCCACAUCGACGGGGAGGUUUGGCACCUCGAUGUCGGCUCAUCACAUCCUGGGGCUGUAGUAGGUCCCAAGGGUUGGGCUGUUCGCCCAUUAAAGUGGUACGCGAGCUGGGUUCAGAACGUCGUGAGACAGUUCGGUCCCUAUCCGUCGCAGGCGUAGGAAAUUUGAGAAGACCUGUCCUUAGUACGAGAGGACCGGGAUGGACGUACCUCUGGUGUACCAGUUGUUCUGCCAAGGGCAUGGCUGGGUAGCUAUGUACGGAAUGGAUAAGCGCUGAAAGCAUCUAAGCGCGAAGCCAACUUCAAGAUAAGAUUUCCCACCGCAAGGGUAAGACCCCAGAAAGACUAUCUGGUUGAUAGGUCGAAGGUGUAAGUGCAGCAAUGUAUUUAGCUUAUCGAUACUAAUAGGUCGAGGACUUGACCAA